GAUGAACGCUGGCGGCGUGCUUAACACAUGCAAGUCGAACGGUAAGGCCCUUCGGGGUACACGAGUGGCGAACGGGUGAGUAACACGUGGGUGAUCUGCCCUGCACUUCGGGAUAAGCCUGGGAAACUGGGUCUAAUACCGGAUAGGACCACUGCCUGCAUGGGUGGUGGUGGAAAGCUUUUGCGGUGUGGGAUGGGCCCGCGGCCUAUCAGCUUGUUGGUGGGGUGAUGGCCUACCAAGGCGACGACGGGUAGCCGGCCUGAGAGGGUGACCGGCCACACUGGGACUGAGAUACGGCCCAGACUCCUACGGGAGGCAGCAGUGGGGAAUAUUGCACAAUGGGCGCAAGCCUGAUGCAGCGACGCCGCGUGAGGGAUGACGGCCUUCGGGUUGUAAACCUCUUUCAGCACCGACGAAGCGCAAGCGACGGUACCUACAGAAGAAGGACCGGCCAACUACGUGCCAGCAGCCGCGGUAA
rnacentral:rRNA from 1 species